rnacentral:rRNA from 1 species
UACGUAGGGUGCGAGCGUUAAUCGGAAUUACUGGGCGUAAAGCGUGCGCAGGCGGUUUUGUAAGCCAGAUGUGAAAGCCCCGGGCUUAACCUGGGAAUGGCAUUUGGGACUGGCAAGGCUUGAGUGCGGCAGAGGAGACUGGAAUUCCUGGUGUAGCAGUGAAAUGCGUAGAUAUCAGGAGGAAUACCGAUGGCGAAGGCAGGUCUCUGGGCUGACACUGACGCUCAUGCACGAAAGCGUGGGGAGCAACAGG